CACGUAGGCACCAAGCGUUGUCCGGAUUUAUUGGGCGUAAAGAGCUCGUAGGCGGUUCGGUAAGUCGGGUGUGAAAACUUUGGGCUUAACCCAAAGCCUGCACUCGAUACUGCUGUGACUUGAGUCCGGUAGGGGAGUGGGGAAUUCCUGAUGUAGCGGUGGAAUGCGCAGAUAUCAGGAGGAACACCGGUGGCGAAGGCGCCACUCUGGGCCGGUACUGACGCUGAGGAGCGAAAGCGUGGGGAGCGAACAGG
rnacentral:rRNA from 1 species